rnacentral:rRNA from 1 species
GAUGAACGCUAGCGGCAGGCCUAAUACAUGCAAGUCGAACGGUAAGGCCCUUUCGGGGGUACACGAGUGGCGGACGGGUGCGUAACGCGUAUGCAACAUGCCUUCCAGCGGGGGAUAUACCAGGGAAACUUGGCGCAAUACCCCAUAGAAUUACGGGACCGCAUGGUCUUGUGAUUAAAACUCCGGUGCUGGGAGAUUGGCAUGCGUGACAUUAGCUAGUUAGCGGGGUAACGGCCUACCAAGGGUACGAUGGGUAGCUGGUCUGAGAGGAUGAUCAGCCACACUGGGACUGAGACACGGCCCAGACUCCUACGGGAGGCAGCAGUGGGGGAAUAUUGGACAAUGGGGGAAACCCUGAUCCAGCUACGCCGCGUGGGUGAUGAAGGCCUUCGGUUGUAAG